rnacentral:rRNA from 2 species
CUGUGAGGGCUGCUGGAGGUAUCAGAAGUGCGAAUGCUGACAUAAGUAACGAUAAAGCGGGUGAAAAGCCCGCUCGCCGGAAGACCAAGGGUUCCUGUCCAACGUUAAUCGGGGCAGGGUGAGUCGACCCCUAAGGCGAGGCCGAAAGGCGUAGUCGAUGGGAAACAGGUUAAUAUUCCUGUACUUGGUGUUACUGCGAAGGGGGGACGGAGAAGGCUAUGUUAGCCGGGCGACGGUUGUCCCGGUUUAAGCAUGUAGGCGGAGGUUCCAGGUAAAUCCGGUACCUUUUAACGCUGAGGUGUGAUGACGAGGCACUACGGUGCUGAAGUAACAAAUGCCCUGCUUCCAGGAAAAGCCUCUAAGCAUCAGGUAACAUCAAAUCGUACCCCAAACCGACACAGGUGGUCAGGUAGAGAAUACCAAGGCGCUUGAGAGAACUCGGGUGAAGGAACUAGGCAAAAUGGUGCCGUAACUUCGGGAGAAGGCACGCUGGUGUGUAGGUGAAGUCCCUGCGGAUGGAGCUGAGACCAGUCGAAGAUACCAGCUGGCUGCAACUGUUUAUUAAAAACACAGCACUGUGCAAACACGAAAGUGGACGUAUACGGUGUGACGCCUGCCCGGUGCCGGAAGGUUAAUUGAUGGGGUUAUCCGUAAGGAGAAGCUCUUGAUCGAAGCCCCGGUAAACGGCGGCCGUAACUAUAACGGUCCUAAGGUAGCGAAAUUCCUUGUCGGGUAAGUUCCGACCUGCACGAAUGGCGUAAUGAUGGCCAGGCUGUCUCCACCCGAGACUCAGUGAAAUUGAACUCGCUGUGAAGAUGCAGUGUACCCGCGGCAAGACGGAAAGACCCCGUGAACCUUUACUAUAGCUUGACACUGAACAUUGAGCCUUGAUGUGUAGGAUAGGUGGGAGGCUUUGAAGCGUGGACGCCAGUCUGCGUGGAGCCAACCUUGAAAUACCACCCUUUAAUGUUUGAUGUUCUAACGUUGGCCCGUAAUCCGGGUUGCGGACAGUGUCUGGUGGGUAGUUUGACUGGGGCGGUCUCCUCCCAAAGAGUAACGGAGGAGCACGAAGGUUAGCUAAUCCUGGUCGGACAUCAGGAGGUUAGUGCAAUGGCAUAAGCUAGCUUGACUGCGAGCGUGACGGCGCGAGCAGGUGCGAAAGCAGGUCAUAGUGAUCCGGUGGUUCUGAAUGGAAGGGCCAUCGCUCAACGGAUAAAAGGUACUCCGGGGAUAACAGGCUGAUACCGCCCAAGAGUUCAUAUCGACGGCGGUGUUUGGCACCUCGAUGUCGGCUCAUCACAUCCUGGGGCUGAAGUAGGUCCCAAGGGUAUGGCUGUUCGCCAUUUAAAGUGGUACGCGAGCUGGGUUUAGAACGUCGUGAGACAGUUCGGUCCCUAUCUGCCGUGGGCGCUGGAGAAUUGAGGGGGGCUGCUCCUAGUACGAGAGGACCGGAGUGGACGCAUCACUGGUGUUCGGGUUGUCAUGCCAAUGGCACUGCCCGGUAGCUAAAUGCGGAAGAGAUAAGUGCUGAAAGCAUCUAAGCACGAAACUUGCCCCGAGAUGAGUUCUCCCUGAGACUAUAAGUCUCCUGAAGGAACGUUGAAGACGACGACGUUGAUAGGCCGGGUGUGUAAGCGCAGCGAUGCGUUGAGCUAACCGGUACUAAUGAACCGUGAGGCUUAACCUU